rnacentral:lncRNA from 1 species
UGAGAUAUAGUAGGUUGCUUGCAUUAGUAUUCACGAAUAUGUUGCAUUGCAUUUAUGAUGUUGAUGUGGAUUGGUUAUUGGAUGAUCCUUUAGUCCUCAUAUGAUAUGAUGAUGUUAUGGCAUGAUAUGGUAUGGAAGUCCAGGUUGUACCCAUUCUACGUCCCUGGCACGAUGUAAAAGGAAGUCCAGGUUGUACCCAUUCUACGUCCUUGGCACAGUUGGACUGUAUGAUAUGUUAUGUUAAGAGAAAGACCGGU